AUACUUAGGCUGAAAAAAAUUACAACUUUAGAAUGAGAUAUCCGCGGAACGGUGAAAAAAUUAACGAAUUUACAGGGGCGAUAUAUCUGUUGAAAUUCCUAUAACGGAUUCUAAAGUUCAUCAACAUUGAAUGCACUUUUUGUGAUUGCAUCUCUCAUAAAAUGUACGUCCUGUUCACUCACACCGACUGCAACAACUGAAGUUACGGCCACAUGUCUGCCAGCCAAAUAUGAUGAAAAGUUGAAGAAAACUUAUUUACAAGAAACCCAGUUUACCCGAACCAUUUUUACAAAGGAUUGUAAUUUAGAACUUUUGCUAAAAUGAAUCAUUCUUCUAUUUCAUAUUUGACGCCUUAAUUUCCUUGAAAAAUCUCUAAAAUGUUAACAAUCU
rnacentral:rRNA from 1 species